CGGUAGACCUCUAGCUGUAAAAAUCGUCACAGCUUACAGACUUUGCUCCGAGCAGUUGAGCAGUCAGCAUCAUUAUGAUUAUGGUAUGAGGGCAGUGAAAUCUGUCCUCGUUGCAGCUGGCAAUUUAAAGCUCAGGUAUCCUGACGAGUCUGAAGACAUCCUCAUGCUAAGAAGCAUAUUGGAUGUUAACCUGCCAAAAUUUUUGGUCCACGAUUUGCCUCUUUUCGAGGGCAUCGCUUCAGAUUUGUUUCCCGGAGUCGUUCUUCCACCGCC
rnacentral:misc_RNA from 1 species